rnacentral:rRNA from 1 species
AACGAACGCUGGCGGCAUGCCUAACACAUGCAAGUCGAACGAGACCUUCGGGUCUAGUGGCGCACGGGUGCGUAACGCGUGGGAAUCUGCCCUUAGGUACGGGAUAACACAGGGAAACUUGUGCUAAUACCGUAUGAUGACGAAAGUCCAAAGAUUUAUCGCCUAAGGAUGAGCCCGCGUAGGAUUAGCUUGUUGGUGAGGUAAAGGCUCACCAAGGCGACGAUCCUUAGCUGGUCUGAGAGGAUGAUCAGCCACACUGGGACUGAGACACGGCCCAGACUCCCACGGGAGGCAGCAGUGGGGAAUAUUGGACAAUGGGCGAAAGCCUGAUCCAGCAAUGCCGCGUGAGUGAUGAAGGCCCUAGGGUUGUAAAGCUCUUUUACCCGAGAUGAUAAUGACAGUAUCGGGAGAAUAAGCCCCGGCUAACUCCGUGCCAGCAGCCGCGGUAAUACGGAGGGGGCUAGCGUUGUUCGGAAUUACUCGGCGUAAAGCGCACGUAGGCGGUUAUUCAAGUCAGAGGUGAAAGCCCAGUGCUCAACACUGGAACUGCCUUUGAAACUAUAGCUUGAAUCCAGGAGAGGUGAGUGGAAUUCCGAGUGUAGAGGUGAAAUUCGUAUAUAUUCGGAAGAACACCAGUGGCGAAGGCGGCUCACUGGACUGGUAUUGACGCUGAGGUGCGAAAGCGUGGGGAGCAAACAGGAUUAGAUACCCUGGUAGUCCACGCCGUAAACGAUGAUAACUAGCUGUCUGGGCACAUGGUGCUUAGGUGGCGCAGCUAACGCAUUAAGUUAUCCGCCUGGGGAGUACGGUCGCAAGAUUAA